UACAGAGGGUGCGAGCGUUAAUCGGAAUUACUGGGCGUAAAGCGUGCGUAGACGGUUAUCUAAGUCGGAUGUGAAAGCCCCGGGCUCAACCUGGGAAUUGCAUUCGAGACUGAAUAGCUAGGGUACGGUAGAGGGAAGUGGAAUUUCCGGUGUAGCGGUGAAAUGCGUAGAUAUCGGAAGGAACAUCAGUGGCGAAAGCGACUUCCUGGACCAGUACCGACGUUCAGGCACGAAAGCGUGGGGAGCAAACAGGA
rnacentral:rRNA from 1 species